UACGUAGGGGGCAAGCGUUGUCCGGAUUUAUUGGGCGUAAAGAGCGUGUAGGCGGUCAGGUAGGUCCGUUGUGAAAACUCGAGGCUCAACCUCGAGACGCCGAUGGAAACCAUCUGACUAGAGUCCGGAAGAGGAGAGUGGAAUUCCUGGUGUAGCGGUGAAAUGCGCAGAUAUCAGGAAGAACACCCGUGGCUAAGGCGGCUCUCUAGUACGGUACUGACGCUGAGACGCGAAAGCGUGGGGAGCAAACGGG
rnacentral:rRNA from 1 species